rnacentral:rRNA from 1 species
GAUGAACGCUGGCGGCGUGCCUAAUACAUGCAAGUCGAGCGAAUGGAUUAAGAGCUUGCUCUUAUGAAGUUAGCGGCGGACGGGUGAGUAACACGUGGGUAACCUGCCCAUAAGACUGGGAUAACUCCGGGAAACCGGGGCUAAUACCGGAUAACAUUUUGAACCGCAUGGUUCGAAAUUGAAAGGCGGCUUCGGCUGUCACUUAUGGAUGGACCCGCGUCGCAUUAGCUAGUUGGUGAGGUAGCGGCUCACCAAGGCAACGAUGCGUAGCCGGCCUGAGAGGGUGAGCGGCCACACUGGGACUGAGACACGGCCCAGACUCCUACGGGAGGUAGCAGUAGGGAAUCUUCCGCAAUGGACGAAAGUCUGACGGAGCAACGCCGCGUGAGUGAUGAAGGCUUUCGGGUCGUAAAACUCUGUUGUUAGGGAAGAACAAGUGCUAGUUGAAUAAGCUGGCACCUUGACGGUACCUAACCAGAAAGCCACGGCUAACUACGUGCCAGCCGCCGCCGUAA